UCUGAAGGAAACUUUCCCCAUUGCCAGGAGCCUCUGCUCCCUAGAUCCCUAGAUGGCUAGCUAGGGAAGGCAGGAGUCAGGGCAGGGUCCAGGCCACACUGAGGGUGGUGGGUGGGCACAGGCAGCCAGGCUGGCAGAGACAGACUGAAAACGAAGCAUUGUAUGUGGAAAAGAGAGCUGCCAGCUGGGUCACAUGCCAGGCUCUCGUGCAAUCCUGUCUCAGGCUGAAAGGCUGGGGGUCUGAUGGUCCAGCCUCACCCAGGACCAAACCGCUUCAAGGGGAGAGAGAAGGCCUUCCUUGAGACUUCUGAGAUAUCCUUGAUCUCAUCCUUGGGCUCUCAUUCUGGCCCAUCCCUUGGUUCAGACAACUCCGAAAAGCAGCCCAAGGAAGGGCGGAAAGCAACGUCUCACCAGCUCCUUGGGACACUCAGACAACUUGAAUUCCCUGGUUCUGUGCUGGGCCAGUAGCCUUGCCCUUCCCUCCCACCAAAUCCUCAACUUGCUAAUUCUUCACAUCUUUUUCCUUUUCCCUAUUUUUUCUUUCCCUCAGAUGCACUUUCCAACCCUCCUUUUGGCUGGCUCCUCACCCUGUCACCCUCCCUGCAUUUUCCUUCUGCUCUCUAGACACUCCCCUCCCCCCCCUUGCUCUUCCAACGGAUCUUAAUUACACACCUACUAUGUCCUGGAUACUGAGGUAGGCAUACAUAGCAUAGGCAUAUGGCAAAGCAAACACAAAAAUGAGGGGUAGGGGUCCUGAGGACACUCUUGGAAGCACCUAGGCCUGUUCUCCCAAAAGUCCUCUCAUCUCCUGGGAGCCUCUGAAAGUCCUUUGCAAACU